rnacentral:lncRNA from 1 species
AUUUAAAUAAUUGGAACGAAGCCCAAGUAUAACAAUUAAAUCCAAGUAAGGAAGAUCUCAAAUGAGUUCUAAUUGAAUACACGGUAAAACAUCACUCGGGAUGGACCAAGUCACAAUCCCCAAUAGUAAACGACCCCGCACUCGUCAUAGAGUGCGUGUAUCACCACAAUAUUGCGUUACGAUGUAAAAUUCCGGAGUUUCAAACCCUUAAGAUAUCAUUUACAAUCAUUACUGACCUUGAACCGGCGAAAUCUCUAGCUCACGGAGCCUUUGCCCUGUAAAUCGACCUCCACGCGCAUCGAAUCUAUCCAUACUAGAACGAAUAUGUUACAAUAGACUAAGGAACAUAACCCAAUCGAAAAGAAUUGAAAAUAGCAAAAAUACCGAAAUUGGCAAAACCCGAGCCCCGGGCCCACUUCUCAUAUUUUAGAAAAUUUUAUAUGAACAAAUUCCUUACCUCGCCACGAGUCUAUACAUAUAAAGAUUACCAAAAUCGGAGUCAAAAUGACCCCUCAAAUCCCAAAAUUUGCUCUCUUAAGCUCAAGCCCUAAACCACCAUUUUUGUCCAUCAUUUUCUUAAAUUUUCAGUCUAAAUCUAUGUAAAAACACUAUAAAAUCAUGUUUUGAGUUCAAGAAUCCAUACCUUAUUGAAACCCCUUGAAAUCCCUCUUCAAAAUCGCCCGCACUCCUCCAAGUCUGAGUUAAAAAUAUGAAACCCUUCAAACAUUCGCGAAGAUGGAAUUAAAUAGCUCUGCCCAGUCAUUACUGUAUCUGCAGUCAAAAUUUGCAUAUGCGACUCCCGCUUUUUUGGUCAACACACCGCUUCUGCGGAAAUUCACUAACACAACAAAAAAAAUAGCGUUUAGCGACGGCCUUAUUCCGUCGCUAAAUCAAUGGAUUCCGUCGCUUAACGUGUUUAGCAACGGAAUAGCGAUGGAUCCAAGUUGUUCCCUAAAAUCCUCGAUGCUAGGCUGAUAGCGACAAAAAAUACAAUCCGUCGCAGACGUAGCGACGACAUAUUUUUUGUAGCAACAUUUAGCGACAAAAAUAUCCGUCGCUAUAUAACCUAUUUCUGUCGCUAUUUUGAUGUCUUUCGUCAUUGUAAUACAUAAUAAAAUUCGUCGUUUGUUCCUUUAGCGAUGAAAUUGUCCGUUGCUAGCCAUGUUAUAACUACUUUUUGCAACAAAAACCUUUUGUCGCUAAUUCGUCGCAAGAUUUAAUUUUUACGCUAUAAUUUUAGCUACGGAACGUAUCCGUCGAUGAUUGUUUUUACUAUAUUGCUGAUUUUUAAAAAUUCUUUUUUUUUAUUUUAAAUAUAAUCUAUUCAAACAUAUUACAUAAACUAUUAAAUACACUUAAUAAAAAGUCAUUGAUAUUAAUAUAAAUUCAACAAGGUCCAAAAUAUAUAGCAUAACGCAUAUAACAGUAUCAUUAAGUACAAAAAAUCCACAAGGAUCAAUAAUAAUGUCCAAACAAAGUAAGCUAACUAUGCUAGGCUGGAGAGUCACAGUUAUACUCAGAACCCAAUGCAUGAACCACAUCAAUGUUAGCAGCAGUAGUAUAUAAGUUUGGGCAGCCUUGAUUUCUUCGAGGGACAAACUUCUAUUUUUUCCUUCUCCCCAUAGUCGGCCUGGAUGUGUGAAUAUUGAUAAAUUUCCUUCAAGAUCUUCCAUAACACUACCAUCAUCAUUACGGGUCAAAGUAUGAUUACGUGUCAUGACAUGAGGUUCAAAAUAAUGAAAAAAUAAUUGUGUUGAUUACAUCAUCAAGUAUGUUUCGCAAAUUAAACCCUCGACACUAGCUUUAUUCCCUAUCAUUUUUUUAAGAGUUCGAAGAUACCUAUACAAGUAUAUGGAUAGACCAUUAAAUUCAUAAGGUCAUGUGUAUCAUAUUUGUCAUAAUAAGAGCACAAAAAGUUCAUAACCUCUCAAAAGGAUGCAUCCAUCUAUAUAGUACAUGUCCAGCAAUCCUUGGUUCAUAUGGCAGGUGUACAGGCACAUGUUCCAUUGAGUUAAAGAAUCCAGGAGAAAAUAUACGCUCCAACUUACACAAGAUCUGUGGGACGUCUGCCUCUAAUCUCUCCAUGUCCACUACUCGAAGAACAACCGAGGUGAGAUCCUUAAAACAUAAGCUCAAUUCCGUAAGUGCUUGCCACACGUUACUAGGAAGUAGCUCACGAAAGGCAAUAGGCAUUAAUCGUUGCAUGGACACAUGGAAAUCAUGACUUUUUUAUACCAAAUAAUUUAUACUUUUCUGUGUCUAGGCACCGACUAAAAUUCGAAACACACCCAUCUGGAAACUUCACACUUUCCAACCAAUUGAACAAGGCAAUUGUUUGAUUCUUCUCUAUUGUAUAUGCAGCUUUGGGAUAGCUUCCAUCAAUAUAAUUCUUUGCCAAUUGCGGUCGAUCGUAAUAGUUUACCAUAUAUUCACGUGCCUUUGGACUGUCUUUUGUUUUGCCAUCAACAUUAAGAACUGUGUUAAAUACAAUAUCAAAGACGUUCUUCUCAAUAUGCAUGACAUCGAGAUUAUGGCGGAUCAUGUUAGAGCUCCAAUAAGGCAAAUCCCAAAAGAUGCUUCUCUUUUUCCAUCCACAACACCUAGAAAUUCUCCCAUUAACUUCUUCUGCAUCUAGCUCAGUUACUUUUAUCAGUCCAACUCACAAAUUUGGUUCAAGAUUUCCUCUCCUAUCCUAAGGGAUGGUGGUAGCCUUCUGACAGUCUGACAUUUAUGAAAGUUUUUACGAUCUCUCCUAAACGGAUGAUUUUGGUCAAGAAACAUUCUAUGACUGUCAAACCAAGUUGUUUUUCCACCAUGACAUAAUCUGAAGGAUUGUGCUUCCUCCAUACAAUAAGGACAUGCUAAGUUACAUAGAAUAUGAUGGAAAGUCAUUGAUUGUCCACAUCAAAGCGGUCCUUAAUUGAAACUUUUGUUGUUUUGAGAUGUCAAAUGCUUCUACACCCGUCUCUCACAACAAGGUCAAUUCUUUUAUUAAAGGUUGUAGAUAAACAUCAAUUUUUUGUUUAGGGUUGUUUGGCCCUGGAACAAUGACAGUUAAGAACAUGUACGCCUCUUUCAUACACAUCCAUGGAGGCAAAUUGUAUGGAGUGACAAUCACUGGCCGUGAUGAGUAUUUCCUCCCCGAAUGACCAAAGGACUGAAAACCAUUAGUACAUAAUCCCAACCUCACAUUUCUUUGUUCAACAACAAAAAAAGGAUGAGUUUCAUUGAAAUGCUUCCAAGCCUCAGAGUCUGAUGGAUGACACAUUACACCCUCCUCUUGUAUGUGCUCAUGAUGCCAUCUCAUAUCAGCGGUUGUAGCAUGAGAUGCAUAUAAUCUCCGCAAUCUAGGAAUCAAAGGAAAUUAAUACAUUUUUUUGUAAGGGAUUAAUUUCUUCUUACGAGAACCAACACGACAUUUGUACCUCUGGUGGCCACAAAACUUGCAAGAUGUGAGGUCCUCAUCUUCAUCCCAAUACAUCAUACAUCCAGAAUUACAACAAUCUAUCUUUUCAACUGGUAAACCCAAGCUACGCACUAGCUUCUUGGUCUCGUAAUAGUUAUCAAACAUUGUAUUAUCUUCUGGUAAAGCCUCUUUCAACAAUUGCAUCAUUUGUUUAUAACCUCUUUGUGAUAAAUUAUUCUCCAUUUUAAUAUUUAGCAUCCUGCAAGUUGAGAGAGGCAAGAACCAGGGUAAAGUUUUGCAUCAUCGGCCUGUAGCAAAUCAUAAAACACUUGGCACUCAGGAUUUGGCUCCUCCUCCAUUGAAGGAUUAGGCUCCGCCUCCAUUGAAGGUUCACAAGAGUAAGACGACUGAGGUUCAGUAUUAUUAUAAGACUGCCAGCUCAAACAAUGGCCAAAUUGGGUCCAGCUGCAUCCAAGACCAUUUAUCGAUAUGGAUUCUCAUAUCCCGAUUCAAGUUGAGUGCCACCAAGCAAAUAGCCACUAGAAGACAUCUCACCGGUCACAUCUUUUUCUCCUUGAUACUUCCAAAGAAAAUAGUUCUCAACAAAUCCAUACCGAUAAAGGUGAAAUUUAAUAGUUUCAACAUUCAUGCAUUUAAUGUUGUGACAUUUUUACAUGGACAUCUAACAUUGUCACUACUCAUGCGAUUGCUCUGAAAACAAGCAAACUGGCGAAACUUGCUCACACAAGUUAUAAAACUUGAAUUAAUACCCCCUCGACCAUCCAACCUUUUGUACAUCUAGUCACGCUCUAGAUUGUCUAUGUUCCUAUUUAUAUUAAAAUAAAAAAGACCCUAAAGUUCUUUAUUUAAUAAGAUAUCAGAAUGUUUUCUAAAAAUAUAACAAGUUGACAUUAGAAUAAGAUGAGAAUAGUAAUACCACAAUCUUGGGAUGAAAAGAAAUUUUGGAAUGUUCAGUUCCUUUCUUUGACCAAAAUAAAAACCUCAAAUAGACAAAUGAAAUGAUAUAUAUAUUGAGGAUUACAUAAGUCGAAACUGAUACCAAUUAGAAUGCCCCAAAAUGUAAUUUAUAAAUUAUUCAAUUAAACCAAUGUAAUAGAAAAAAGCACAAUCAACAUAAUAAGGACAUGAGAACUCACCAGACCCUGAAAUGCCAUUUGAAUCAAGCACGAAGACUAAUAAAAACUAAAUCUUUCCGAGAACUUUUACCACACAAAUUCUUGUCGACCUGCACAGAAAAUUUUCAAAUAAUGGGAAAUAAAUUAGAUAUAGCAAAUGAAGCUGGAAAAUCUAAUAAUCAGAGUACCAUUUGAAGACAAAAGAUGCUCAAAGCCAUGAGAGUGACCCUUGAAUCUGUCAUUGCCAACUUGAGAAUUCAUCUAAUACUUCCACUAAAUUGUAUUGAAAACUCCAUUUUUAGUUUGACUUGCACAAAUUUCCGUAGACUUUAUAGUAAGUAGUACAGAUAUAACGUCACAAGAAAAUGGCCUCUGCAAUUCCAAGUUGCUUACUUUGCUGGCUCUAAAUUGUUUUUUUCUUAAGUAGGGACUAAAUCAGUUGACUAUCAUUAUAGGUUUAACAAUACAAAUUAAGAUUCUUACACCUUCGUUCUUAUAUGAAAUCAAGAGAUCUAUUAAUAAUCAGUUCAGUCACAUAUAUGGCUUCAAACGUUCCACCUUUUCUAUUUUCAUCAAAAUAUUAUAGUGUUUCUGGAGAUGGGGAAAGAAGAGAUGCACCUUAGAUAUAUUUUUCCAAAUGAAAUCUGCAAACGUUUAACAAAAACUCGACGGAAUUGCAACAAAAUUCAACAGAGGACCUCGAAUCGGCACCUAGGAUUUGCAAAUGGGAACCCCGAACUCGAACUCGACGGCAAAUUUGGACGCCGUGAGUCCCUCAAAUCAAACAGCUACUCUCUGACUCUAUUUUUAGACCAGAACUUAGAGGAAUACUUCAAAUCCUUGCUGAAUGAAUUGUUUUUGUUCAAAUCAAAACAAACGAAACCUUACAUCUGGUUUAGCUUUUUCAGCUCAUUGUAACGGUAGUCCCCCUCCAGAUGUUGCGGCUCCAUUUGAGAGGAGAGGGAUUUGAAAGGUUUUUUUUUGAUUUUUUAAGAAGAAGAAGAAAGCAAUGGCUUUUGAUUCCCCCAAAUCGGAUGUAAGGGCCGAAAAAACUCUGUUGAAGAUACGUGCAGAGUAGUUGAAGCGGAGUUUGAUAGAGAGGGCCGGUUGGAUUUUGCCCUAGAGUUGGGUGUAGGUCUUUUAACCAAGUUAACUCUUUCAAACGGAAUUGUAGCGACGGAUACAGCGACGGAAAUCGCGACGGAUUAAUUAUUGAAUUUUAAUUUAAUGGAUCUAGUAUUUUAGCGACGGACUUUUAAACUUUAAUGUCUUGAUAAAUAAAACGAACACAGCGACGGUAUUAUGGAUGCUAAAUCCGUCGCUAUAUUUUAAUACUUUUUGUCGCUGCACUUUCGUAGCUAAUUUUGUAGGUAAAAUUACGACGCUAAUGUUUAGCGCCAAUAUUGCGACGAAUAUUGGUUUUUGUCGCUAUUC